GUAGGAAAGUGAUUUCUUCUGGACCUGAAGGUUGUGAUGCUGAUGGAGAACUCUUUUCAUUUCGAAGAAUGAGUCGAUCCAGACGUCCAGUGGGAGAUGAACAGAGUGAUCAUGGAGAAGACACUUCCGGCCGAAGCUUGGACCGGCUGUAGAACUGGAUCAUGCCACUCCAAGGAAUGCUAUUUCAAGGUGUGAGACAUGGAGCUUCACCCCCACAAGUGAAACGCCCCAACUUGCUUGCUUCACAACCACCUCCUCAGCCUUCUAUCGCUCUAAUAAGGUCUGACCAAGGAACUUUCACAUGGAUCAGAGUUAGUUCAUUAGGCUUUGUGAACUGGAUGGACACAUGAGAGGUAUCGGUCUUCUCCACGAUCCACAAAGCCUUUCAGAGAGGUCCAGAGAUGCCAACCGGUCUACCAAAUCAUUCCUUUGCCUUUUUCCAUAAACAGCACAACAAAUAUGAGGGAGGUGUUGACCUGUCCGGUCAACUCAUCCAGUACCAUCCUGCGCAGCAUAAGAAUGUGAAAUGGUACAGAAAACUCUUUUUACAUUUCCUGGACAAACUGUUUUUAACGAGUGGUACAAAAACAAACAAAC